AUGGCUAAGACGCGACAAGAAGCGAUCAAUAUGUUCCUAGAACAGGUUGCAUCUGCAGAGAAGCUUCGCCCAGAGACCGACCCAGAGAUUGUCUUCUUCAAGAGGUACUGCAUAGCGCUUUACUGUAGACCCGAUGGAAUGCUACCCUGCCAUAUCUGCCAGGAAGACAACCCUAGAAACACUCCCAUCUACAUUGAUGAAACUAAUAUGAAGUCUCACUGCAAGAUGCAGCAUCGCAGGGCUACUAUCAAGUGCACUGAGCAGAACUGCACAGUUCUGUUCAACUCACUGGCUGAUAAAGAACUGCACAGAUUCUAUUGCCAUAAGAAAGCCUAUGGUUGGUGGAUCCUUUGA
rnacentral:rRNA from 1 species